UUAAAAUGUCCCAAGAAACUAACCUACCCUGGCCGGAGAUUCUUUUCAUGGCACUGUUUAGUGUAAGGUACACCCCAAGAGGGAAGCUUAGCUUAUCCCCUUACAAAAUCUUAUUUGGGACAGCACCCAGGUUAGGCUGUUACUUUCCUUUAGCAACUUCAACUUCAGUCAGAUGCAAUGGUAGAUUAUAUAACUGCACUCUCUCAUGCCUUGACCAAAAUCCAUGCAAAGGUGUUUUCUUCUAUUCCAGAUCCAUAGUCAAAUACAGGCACGCAUAAGUUACUUACUGGUGACUGGGUCAUAGUCAAGAAGUUCCUAAGAAAACACACUCUUGAGCCAAGGUUCGAUGGUCCAUUCCAAGUCCUAUUGACUACAUCUACCUCUGUAAAGUUGGCCGGAGGUAGAUUCCACCAAAUCAUGAGCUUCCUGUGCCUAUUUCUGCUGAUAGGCCUAUUAAAGGCCCAACAAGUUGCUAUUACCAAAGACAAUCAUGUUUACACAUUUUGGUAUUAUUCUUCAAACACACACGUAGAUACUUUUACCUUUGAUUACUGUGAUAUUGUCUCUUGUACUUUUCCACAAUCACAACUGUAACAGAAUCUUCCGUUAAUGGACGCUUCCUAGCUUGCGCCCAGGGCCACAAGCACCGCACCGGACACCACCGCAGACUCCACAACCACCGUAGCUUAACUGGAGUCUCGCCAUCUUCCGUCCACCCUGGAUCAGCUUCUGUCCUCCAGGACCGUGUGGGGAAAGACCUCUCCUGCAGGAGAGCGUAUCAGGAACAAGCUCUUAAAAGAGCUAAGUGAUUAAAGCUCAAGGGAGUAUGCAGAGCAUAGCAAUCCCCAGUGUGAUAUAGCAGGUCUCUCCAAUAACGAGACAAGGCUACAUAUUGAGGUUCAAGAAGAUCUGACUGUACUGGCACAUACAGCCUCUUUUAUUCACAUUUUACAAAUAUAGUACUGCUCACAGGGUUUUGAAGAACAACCAAUCAACACAUUACAAAACAGCUAACACUCCCAUUCAUUACAUCAGAAAUCCUCCCCUCUGCUUGUGAUACAAUUAUCUCAACACAAUAGACUAACUUAAUUAUCA